GUAGGUUCAUUUCUUCAAUUUUCUCGAUUUGGUUCUUCACAUUGAUUUCUUUGACCCCAUAGUUGUCUGAAAAUUUCGAUUUCACAGUUGCUGCCUCCAAGCAAUUUGAUCAUAGGUAUUUUGUUUCUCAUUUCCACCUCAUCUCCAAUAAAUCCGUUUGACAAAAGGCCAAGGGAAUGAAUUUUUCAAGGUCAACCAUGAACACCUGAAAUUGAAAAAAUUCAAUUAACUCCUCAACUAUAAUAUCACAAGCGAUUCAACAGACACUACCAAAUUUCCAGGGCAAGGGUCUCAAACAUAAACAUAAAAGAAAGGUCCAACCACACACAAGCAACAUUCUAAUCCAUCAUAAACAAUGGCAAACAUAUUCAUUUAGGUUUUGUUAUAUGUCCAUUGAAAAAUCCAGAGAUAAAUAAUUCUCUUAGGGUUUCACUCCCCUUCCAAAGCAAAGUAGACUGUCUCAUCAGCAAACGAUUCAGAUUGGCUUCGAAAUUGCACAGAAACCCAAUAAAAAAAAACCCUCUUAAUCUAUCAAAGAAGAAGAAACAAACCAUUAACAUAUUUCAUUUGAUCCUCUAUGUGGAUGAGAGAGAUCCAAUAAAAAUACCAAAUGGGCUAACUACUAAAUUCAUUCCAGUCAAAUACCAAACAAGCCAAAGACAAAUCAAAAUAAACUCAAAAAAGAAAGAACUGAAUUCAAACAAUCGACAGAAAACUAGAUCAAUACAGAUAGAAAGCUCACCUACAAUGGUCACCAGAAACCCAAUGACGAAAGGAAUGUUUAAGGAUGAAAGCAAAAACCCAUAUGAAGAUUUUCACUUCGAUUUAAAUAUUGAACAUUCCUUUGUACUUGGAAGUUCAUAGAUUUCCAGUGAAUUUGUCAUCGCCACGAAGUGAAGGAGGUUUUGACUGAGAAAUCAUACCUGAUCUACUACUAGGCUUGGUUAAAGGGACCUCAUCUUUGCAGACAUAUUCUUGAUGACGGCUUGGGAAAGAGGGCUCAACUUUAGUUAUAGGCAAAUGGAAAGGAGGAGAAAGAGGGCUGAGUUAUGGGCAAAUAGAGGAGAGGAAAGAGAAGGGUAAAAUCGUAUUUUCAAUUUAAAAAAUAACACCUCUCGCGGUGCUAGUUUGGAUGGAUUUAAAUGUAAUAGACAAAAUGCGAGGGCGUGGAUGUAAUAAAGACAAAUACGAGGAGAGGUGGAUGUAAAUUUCCUAUUUAUAUUCACAUUUAAAAAAAAAUUAUUAUUAUUAUUAUUAAUCACCAUACGUUUAAAGUCUAUUUAGAAUCUAUUUAAGGACAAAAUUGAUAUUACCCAUUUAAAGCCUUUAUAACCCGAUUAUUGAUAGCUUAAUCAUUUAUAAAUGAAACUAUGGUGAGCCUAAAGUGGAUAAGCCUGAGCUCGACUGAGACCUACCCGCCCCAUCAAUUGACACCCCUAUCAUAUAUCAUUGAGGUUAUCAACUAAUUUCUAUAACUUAAAAAAAAAAAAAAAAAAAAAGGGUUUUAUCAAAUACUAACCUAUGAUGGAGCGGUUUAUGAAUAUAUUCGUAGUGGACUUGAUUUUAUCAAAGAUGACGAGAACGUUAACGCCAAAUCAUUUAUGCUUUGGAAAGAUAAUUUUUUAUUGGGUUUUUUCUUAAUGCAAUUUAUAAAGCACAGGCCGAGACAGGUGAAAUCAAAUCAAAGGGCAUUUUGUUUUGUAAAUAAAAAAAAAAAAAAAAAAAUCAGAAGGCUAUAUUUGCGAGAGACACUUGUUUUCUCCUCCAACCAUACAAUUAAAGAAACUUUUCGUGUGAUAGGUAAGACGUUAAUGGAGAUCCUGCCGCCACAAUGGCUCCACGCUGGCAGUGUAGGACUGAAGGUGAAUAUUUGGAUUUUCCGUUUUUCGAUAGGCAAUUCAGUCAUUUCAAUUUUUUGUGUAGGGCAAUUCAGUAAUUUCGACAACAUUAUAAAAGUGAGAAACAAGGCAGGUAUAAUUUCUUCUAAUUCUUCUAUCUGAGAUUCUGAAUCCGCUGAAACCAGAAGAAAAAAGAAUAAACGUGGAAGAAGAGGUGGAGCGACUUCAGGAAGAAAUUAAGCGACUGGGGCAGAUCCAGACAGAUGGAUCUUACAAGGUUACUUUUGGAACACUAUUCAAUGAUGAUAGGUGUGCAAACAUUUUUGAAGCAUUGGUAGGAACACUGAGGGCAGCCAAGAAACGUAAAAUUGUAGGAUAUGAUGGUGAGCUACUACUACAAUGAGUCCAUGACAAUGUAGAGAGCACCCUCAAAUCACCAACAACGCCACUGGCAACCACUGCAGCUGUUGUAUGAUAUUAAGCGAAAAGAUUGUGAUAAUACAUUUUGAGAACCUUUUUUUGGGUAUGAAAAGCCUUCUUGGACAAAAUUGAGUGCAAUGUAUUCAUUUCCUCCUGUUGGAUGCAAGUAUGCCCUCAACUUAGUUUUCUUUUA